rnacentral:rRNA from 1 species
UACGUAGGGGGCAAGCGUUGUCCGGAUUUAUUGGGCGUAAAGAGCGUGUAGGCGGCCAGACAGGUCCGUUGUGAAAACUCGAGGCUCAACCUCGAGACGCCGAUGGAAACCGUCUGGCUAGAGUCCGGAAGAGGAGAGUGGAAUUCCCGGUGUAGCGGUGAAAUACGUAGAGAUUGGGAAGAACACCAGUGGCGAAGGCGGCUAUCUGGACGGUUUCUGACGCUAAGACGCGAAAGCGUGGGGAGCAAACAGG